AACUUAAAUAAAGGCAACAGUAGUAUACCGCUGUUCAAACUCAUAAAUUCACGGACAAAAAACAAAAUCGGGGUAACAAACUAAAACUGAGGGAAACGCAUUAAAUAUAAGAGGAAAACAACGACACAACACUACAAUGUAACACACACAGAAACGGACCAAGCAUCAGACAAAAUCCCACGAGAAAAACAAAUAUAACAUCAAAACCAAAUACAUGAAUUUCGGAUAGACAAGUACCGUGACACGUCUUAUCGCAAUGUGAAUUUACACUCAAAAUUAAGAGAAAACAAACGACGCAACGUUAAAAUGUAACACACACAG
rnacentral:lncRNA from 1 species